GAGUUUGAUCAUGGCUCAGAACGAACGCUGGCGGCGUGCCUAACACAUGCAAGUCGAGCGAGAAAGCGGCUUCGGCCGUAAGUAAAGCGGCACACGGGUGAGUAACACGUAGGCAAUCUUCCGUCGGAAUCGGGAUAACCUGCCGAAAGGCGGGCUAAUACCGGAUAAGGUCACGAGGUCUUCGGACUUUGUGACAAAAGGCAGCUCGAAGAGGGUUGCGUCUGACGAUGAGCCUGCGGCCCAUCAGGUAGUUGGCGGGGUAACGGCCCACCAAGCCUAGGACGGGUAGGCUGGUCUGAGAGGACUGAUCAGCCACACUGGAACUGAGACACGGUCCAGACUCCUACGGGAGGCAGCAGUGGGGAAUUUUGGGACAAUGGGCGCAAGCCUGAUCCAGCAACGCCGCGUGGGUGAUGAAGGCC
rnacentral:rRNA from 1 species